GACUAGCCCAGAUGGAAAUGGCAUCCUUUUUUGGUCUUCUUUUUCGAAGACUAAAAAAGAUACAAUGGACAGCUGGAAAAUGC
rnacentral:sRNA from 1 species